UGAACCCAGGACCUCACAUGUGUUAU
rnacentral:misc_RNA from 1 species